UACAGAGGGUGCGAGCGUUGUCCGGAAUCACUGGGCGUAAAGGGCGCGUAGGCGGUCCGGUAAGCGUGUGGUGAAAGCUCGGGGCUCAACCCCGAGUCGGCCAUGCGAACUGCGGGACUGGAGCAUGUCAGAGGCAGGCGGAAUUCCGGGUGUAGCGGUGGAAUGCGUAGAGAUCCGGAAGAACACCGGUGGCGAAGGCGGCCUGCUGGGACAUUGCUGACGCUGAGGCGCGACAGCGUGGGGAGCAAACAGG
rnacentral:rRNA from 1 species